UACGGGGGGAGCAAGCGUUGUUCGGAUUUACUGGGCGUAAAGGGCGCGUAGGCGGUCAGCACAAGUCAGUUGUGAAAUCUCCGGGCUUAACUCGGAAAGGUCAACUGAUACUGUGCGACUAGAGUGCGGAAGGGGCAACUGGAAUUCUCGGUGUAGCGGUGAAAUGCGUAGAUAUCGAGAGGAACACCUGCGGCGAAGGCGGGUUGCUGGGCCGACACUGACGCUGAUGCGCGAAAGUCAGGGGAGCGAACGGG
rnacentral:rRNA from 1 species